GCCAGGGUGGCAGAACCAGGUUAAUGCGCACGGCUGGAGACCGUGUGGGCUUUUGCCCGUCUGGGUUCAAAUCCCAGCCCUGGCG
rnacentral:tRNA from 1 species